ACAAUGGAGAGUUUGAUCCUGGCUCAGGAUGAACGCUAGCGGGAGGCCUAACACAUGCAAGCCGAGCGGUAGAGUUUCUUCGGAAACUUGAGAGCGGCGCACGGGUGCGUAACACGUGUGCAACCUACCUUUAUCUGGGGGAUAGCCUUUCGAAAGGAAGAUUAAUACCCCAUAAUAUAAUGAUUGGCAUCAAUUAUUAUUGAAAACUCCGGUGGAUAGAGAUGGGCACGCGCAAGAUUAGAUAGUUGGUGAGGUAACGGCUCACCAAGUCAAUGAUCUUUAGGGGUCCUGA
rnacentral:ncRNA from 1 species